ACAGCACUUGUAGCCUAAUUAUUAUAAGCUAUGAAGACAUGUCAGGUGGGAAAAUGUGUAGGCUAUUCUCGUCCCAUAUCAAGUCCAACAGAGGUCCCCCCCGCAACAAGCAGCACGAGCUCCCCUCCUGUUCGUGCAGUCGCGAGCUCUGGAGAAUGAAAGCAGCUGCGCGUGGUUUUGUCCGCGAGCAGCAGCAGCAGCAGCAGCAGCAGAGACCCCGCUCGUUGACGUACACUCAGGGAGGGUGCGUGAGUUUUUUGCCCGAAGGACUCGGGGAAAGAAGGGGGGGAGGAGGUGUUCAGCGCGUCUUUAGUCCACUUGGAUACUACUGAAUUCAUGACAUCCAUUAAAGCAGCCGUUCAUCACCGGUCCAGAGGAGGAAGACAUGAAAAAUCUGUUUUUGCUCAGCAGCAUUACGUUCUGCUAUCUUACCGCUGAGGGCUUAAAAACUUCUCAGCCUUACUGCUUCUAGCCCCAGUCAGCUUUGACAUAUAUUAUGACUAUUGAAGCAUUUGAAUAUUGUGUCUCACAGAAAGUCUCUUGGCAAAAAGAAGCCACAGUUAUUCAGUUGAAUAUUAAAGGAAGGGGAGGAAGAAAUCCAUUAACUCAACACAGUCUGCUGUGUGCAUUUUUACCUGAAGUCUUUCAACAUCUUCAGACUAAUUCCCAGAGACGAUUUAGCUCAUUCUCUUCUUUCUGAUCAUUUAAGUAUUAGAAAACCCAUCGCCCAGUGCAAACGUGGCCAGAAUUUAGUGAGUCAGCUGUACUCAUGCAUUUUAAUAUUUGUUGUUGCAUUUUCUGCCAAUGUAUUUGCACCCAAAGAGAUUGCAAGAACUAAUUCUCCUUGCCAUAGCAUUAAGCCAUGUAAUAUCAAUGAGGAUUUAUGUGACUGUUUUUUGUGAAGCUUAUGGGGAGAUUCAUGUUGAUAUAUUAAAUGGCUAAUAAAUGGUUGCAUCGUCACAUUA